rnacentral:rRNA from 1 species
GCAGGACGGUAGCAAUACCGUUGCUGGCGACCGGCAAACGGGUGCGGAACACGUACACAACCUUCCUUUAAGUGGGGGAUAGCCCGGGGAAACCCGGAUUAAUACCCCGUAAUAUAUAGAAGCGGCAUCGCUUUUAUAUUAUAGCUCCGGCGCUUAGAGAUGGGUGUGCGGCUGAUUAGAUAGUUGGCGGGGUAACGGCCCACCAAGUCGACGAUCAGUAACUGGUGUGAGAGCACGACCAGUCACACGGGCACUGAGACACGGGCCCGACUCCUACGGGAGGCAGCAGUAAGGAAUAUUGGUCAAUGGACGCAAGUCUGAACCAGCCAUGCCGCGUGGAGGAUGAAGGUCCUCUGGAUUGUAAACUUCUUUUAUUUGGGAAGAAAUCUAUCUUUUCUUGGAUAGUUGACGGUACCAGAUGAAUAAGCACCGGCUAACUCCGUGCCAGCAGCCGCGGUAAUACGGAGGGUGCAAGCGUUAUCCGGAUUCACUGGGUUUAAAGGGUGCGUAGGUGGGCAGGUAAGUCAGUGGUGAAAUCUCCGGGCUUAACCCGGAAACUGCCAUUGAUACUAUCUGUCUUGAAUACCCUGGAGGUGAGCGGAAUAUGUCAUGUAGCGGUGAAAUGCUUAGAUAUGACAUAGAACACCCAUUGCGAAGGCAGCUCACUACGGGAAUAUUGACACUGAGGCACGAAAGCGUGGGGAUCAAACAGGAUUAGAUACCCUGGUAGUCCACGCCCUAAACGAUGGAUACUCGACAUCAGCGAUAAACUGUUGGUGUCUGAGCAAAAGCAUUAAGUAUCCCACC